UGUGAGCUGCGACAUCUGUAUUAUAUCCUCUACCCCUAGGCUCAGGGAACAUUACAGACGUUGGUGUCAAAAAAAUUGUAAGAGCCUGAGGUCAAGGAGGACUGGGGUGAAGCAGCAUCUCCUAAACAUAACAGGACAUUGCCCUCAUGAAUCCACAGCAGCUGUGCAAGACCAAGACAGCCAACCUUCCAGCAUGGGUUUGGAAGGAGCACAUUUGACCCAUUCACCGCUAAGGAGCUACUUACCGUUGAUGCUGCCAGAGGAAGGAGCAUAGGCUUUUUUCAAGGGAUAUGUUUUCUGGUCUCUAGGACAAUAGUGGCAUCACUUGAAUUAACAGAGGAAGACAGUCAAUCUCAGAACAGAAAAUAAUUCAUCUUUGUUCAAGGAGGUAGAGAUUGCAGGAUAUGUUCUAGAUGAAGUCCUUGGCCCUUUAUCCAGGAAGAGACUCCUUCUUAAAACUUUGUCUGGCAUCCUGCCUGUGAGUGCCCUGAUACACAGCUUCUGCUACCCUGGUUCCCAGCCAAGCUGCAAGAUGGAGGUGGAGCCCACAGGACUUUCAAGUCUUCCCUGGUGGAACUCCUGGGCUCUGGGCUGUCCCACAGGACUCUAGGUCCUAUCCUGGGUACAUACCCCAGGCUUCUGAGCCCUGAGCACGGACCCGUGUCCUCCUGGCAAGGGGUCUUGCCUGAAGAGCUGCUCUCUCCAGGCAUGGAGAACUGGAAACCAAUCACGCAUUCCUUUCCUAUCUAAGUAAGCUGAGCCCCUGCUAUGGUUGGGCUGCGUGGGAGACGGUGACAACAACUCACAGCCAUUGAAAAGUUAAAAACCCUGGUAAUUCUUACGUGAGGUCUCAGGGCCUGUUUAAACAGCAGCUUUACACAUGUGAAGAAAAGAU
rnacentral:lncRNA from 1 species